rnacentral:rRNA from 1 species
UACGAAGGGGGCUAGCGUUGUUCGGAAUCACUGGGCGUAAAGCGCGCGUAGGCGGAUUGUUAAGUCAGGGGUGAAAUGCCGAGGCUCAACCUCGGAACUGCCUUUGAUACCGGCAAUCUUGAGUCCGGGAGAGGUGAGUGGAACUCCUAGUGUAGAGGUGAAAUUCGUAGAUAUUAGGAAGAACACCAGUGGCGAAGGCGGCUCACUGGCCCGGAACUGACGCUGAUGUGCGAAAGCGUGGGGAGCAAACAGG